GGGACACGUGGUAUCCUGUCUGAAUAUGGGGGGACCAUCCUCCAAGGCUAAAUACUCCUGACUGACCGAUAGUGAACCAGUACCGUGAGGGAAAGGCGAAAAGAACCCCGGCGAGGGGAGUGAAAAAGAACCUGAAACCGUGUACGUACAAGCAGUGGGAGCACCCUUGUGGUGUGACUGCGUACCUUUUGUAUAAUGGGUCAGCGACUUAUAUUCUGUAGCAAGGUUAACCGUAUAGGGGAGCCGAAGGGAAACCGAGUCUUAACUGGGCGUUAAGUUGCAGGGUAUAGACCCGAAACCCGGUGAUCUAGCCAUGGGCAGGUUGAAGGUUGGGUAACACUAACUGGAGGACCGAACCGACUAAUGUUGAAAAAUUAGCGGAUGACUUGUGGCUGGGGGUGAAAGGCCAAUCAAACCGGGAGAUAGCUGGUUCUCCCCGAAAGCUAUUUAGGUAGCGCCUCGUGAACUCAUCUUCGGGGGUAGAGCACUGUUUCGGCUAGGGGGCCAUCCCGGCUUACCAACCCGAUGCAAACUACGAAUACCGAAGAAUGUUAUCACGGGAGACACACGGCGGGUGCUAACGUCCGUCGUGAAGAGGGAAACAACCCAGACCGCCAGCUAAGGUCCCAAAGUCAUGGUUAAGUGGGAAACGAUGUGGGAAGGCACAGACAGCCAGGAUGUUGGCUUAGAAGCAGCCAUCAUUUAAAGAAAGCGUAAUAGCUCACUGGUCGAGUCGGCCUGCGCGGAAGAUGUAACGGGGCUAAACCAUGCACCGAAGCUGCGGCAGCGACGCUUAGGCGUUGUUGGGUAGGGGAGCGUUCUGUAAGCCGUUGAAGGUGUGCUGUGAGGCAUGCUGGAGGUAUCAGAAGUGCGAAUGCUGACAUAAGUAACGAUAAAGCGGGUGAAAAGCCCGCUCGCCGGAAGACCAAGGGUUCCUGUCCAACGUUAAUCGGGGCAGGGUGAGUCGACCCCUAAGGCGAGGCCGAAAGGCGUAGUCGAUGGGAAACAGGUUAAUAUUCCUGUACUUGGUGUUACUGCGAAGGGGGGACGGAGAAGGCUAUGUUAGCCGGGCGACGGUUGUCCCGGUUUAAGCAUGUAGGCGGAGGU
rnacentral:rRNA from 1 species